rnacentral:rRNA from 1 species
AGCAUAUCAAUAAGCGGAGGAAAAGAAACUAACAAGGAUUCCCCUAGUAACGGCGAGUGAAGCGGAAGAGCUCAAAUUUAAAAUCUGGCGGUGUAUUCCGUCCGAGUUGUAGUCUAGAGAAGCAUCAUCCGCGCCGGACCAUGUACAAGUCUCUUGGAACAGAGCGUCAUAGAGGGUGAGAAUCCCGUCCUUGACAUGGACUCCCGGUGCUUUGUGUUGUGCUCUCGACGAGUCGAGUUGUUUGGGAAUGCAGCUCAAAAUGGGUGGUAAAUUCCAUCUAAAGCUAAAUAUUGGCGAGAGACCGAUAGCGAACAAGUACCGUGAGGGAAAGAUGAAAAGCACUUUGGAGAGAGAGUUAAACAGUACGUGAAAUUGUUGAAAUGGAAACGAUUGAAGUCAGUCGCGUUCUCUGGGAUUCAGCCUUGCUUCUGCUUGGUGCAUUUCCUAGUCUACGGGCCAGCAUGGAUUUCGACCGUUGGAAAAAGGCUGGGGGAAUGUGGCACUUCGGGUGUGUUAUAGCCCCUUGUCACAUACAUCGGUUGGGAUCGAGGACCUCAGUGCACGCUUCGGUUGUGCUUUGAUGCUGGCGUAAUGGCUUUAAACGACCCGUCUUGAAACACGGACCNNCANGAUCAACCUUCUGCGANUGUUUGGGUGANANAUCGGACGCGCAAUNAAAGUGAUAGUUGGGAACCUUUCACGAGGGGCACCGACNCCCGGACCAGACCUUCUGUGACGGAUCCGAGGUAGAGCAUAUAUGUUGGGACCCGAAAGAUGGUGAACUAUGCCUGCAUAGGGUGAANCCAGAGGAAACUCUGGUGGAGGCUCGUAUCGAUUCUGACGUGCAAAUCNAUCGUCUAAUGUGGGUAUANGGGCGAAAGACUAUUCGAACCAU